rnacentral:rRNA from 1 species
GAUGAACGCUGGCGGCGUGCCUAAUACAUGCAAGUCGAGCGAACGGACGAGAAGCUUGCUUCUCUGAUGUUAGCGGCGGACGGGUGAGUAACACGUGGAUAACCUACCUAUAAGACUGGGAUAACUUCGGGAAACCGGAGCUAAUACCGGAUGAUAUUUUGAACCGCAUGGUUCAAAAGUGAAAGACGGUUUUGCUGUCACUUAUAGAUGGAUCCGCGCUGCAUUAGCUAGUUGGUAAGGUAACGGCUUACCAAGGCAACGAUGCAUAGCCGACCUGAGAGGGUGAUCGGCCACACUGGAACUGAGACACGGUCCAGACUCCUACGGGAGGCAGCAGUAGGGAAUCUUCCGCAAUGGGCGAAAGCCUGACGGAGCAACGCCGCGUGAGUGAUGAAGGUCUUCGGAUCGUAAAACUCUGUUAUUAGGGAAGAACAUAUGUGUAAGUAACUAUGCACAUCUUGACGGUACCUAAUCAGAAAGCCACGGCUAACUACGUG